rnacentral:tRNA from 1 species
AAAACAGUAGAAGUUUACCUACUGCAUUCAAAAUCCCGUUCUCGCAAGGGAGUGCCGGUUCGAUUCCGGCGAGGGGCACCA